CAAUAUUUUCAUAAAUCUUGAUUUUUCCACUUUAAUCUCUGGAUUCAAUGGUGGUAUUACCUUAGAGGUAUCAUUUUUUAUUUUUUGUUCUGUUAAGUGUUAUUUCCUAGUCUCUAUUGCGUUUUGUUCAUCUAAUUAGACUACAUUUGUUGAUGGGUUCCUCUUCAAUGGAAUCAAAUCAAGAAGACCGGUUACUUUAUGAAAGGGGUUUUUUGAUUGAUUUUGCUUCAAAAUCCUCUAAUUUUUACUAAUUGGGGUGUGAUUGGGUUCUUUACUGUGGAAGCAUUACAUGGACAAAACACUAUAAUCAGGUUAUGAUUGAUUCUAUUUUUUUUAAUUGUUGUGUGAUUUGUUGAUUGAUUCCUUUUAACGAAUCGGUUCAAGCCAAGCUUUUCAAAACCCUAAUGGUUUAAUUAUUGUACAGAACCAAUAUAAGUGGUUUUGGCUUUUAUGUAUUUAGGGGGUUUUAUGAUUUGGGGGAUUUCGAUGAUUUUGUUGUUUCUUCAAUGGGUUCUAUUUCUGACUGAUUUGGGUUUCAGUCAGAACUAGCUCUUGCCGCUUUUAUAAAUGCUUGUUCCUCCUCCAAUAAAAGACACUGGUGGCAAGUGAGAGCAUAUCAAACAGAGUUGUAUAGGGUAGAGAAAGAAUAUGGGAACUGAAUCGGUUGAAGCGGUUUACAAGACAGAAGAAGUGAAAGAAUAUGUGCAAAAUGGUUAGCAAUACCGUAACAGGGUUCCUUCUUGUUUCUUUUGCUGCUGCUGCUUGUAGCUUCCAGAUAUGACUGUUGGUGCACAAGCGACCAAAUCAUUGCUUGGGCAGUUAGUAAUUCAACCUCUGGAGAUGAAGCAAGUGGUGGUAAAACUCUAUAAGGUGAAAAUCUAUUUUGUACUGUGUUGGCAAGUUUCAGAGAGAAUAAAGUGAUUCAGUGGUUUCAUCAUGCUUUUUGCAAACCAUGUUCCGGAAACAGGUGAUUAAGUGAAAGCACAAUAAUAGGUUUUGCGGUGUUUCUACGUUUGAGGCUACAUCAGCUCGAGGAAGAAAGCGUAGUACUAGGUUUCAUAAGGUUGGAAGCUUGAAACUGAAAAAUUAGGGUGUAGGCAAUAAUGAUACAGUACGAGAUGUCUAGAUUCUUAAUGGGAUGUUGUGAUAAGUAGUCACUCCUGUCUCCUGGAUUUUGUAUGACUCCUGACUUUUUUACUGAAUGGGGAGCUUUCCAUUUCAGUUCUGUCUUUUUCUGUUUUUCGGGUCUAUGGUGAGCCGUUUGGUGGUUGCAUGAUUCAAGGUUUGGAGAAAAGUGCCAAAUUAUUAAGGGAGAGAGGCCUGAAGUCUUCACAGAGGAUGUCGGAAUACACGUAUGUAUGUCUACAUUGGACUUUUCCUGUGUGGUGCCUGUUUUAAGUAGAUCUUUCCACUGGAUACUGUGUCAUUUCCAGGAAACUCUUAAUUGCCAAGGAACACUGCAUCUCCCCAUAGUUGCAACAAUGGCGGAAGUAGAAUCACAUUCUAGCCAAAACGUGGAAGGGAUUGGAGAGGCUUAUGAUGAAGACAUAACUUUUGCAAGAGGGCUUUGAUACAUUUGAAAGGGGCCAAAAUGAUCCUGAUGGUCUUGCUUGCUUUUGGAGAUUAGGAAUUGAUGAUGCCGAGGAGAAGACAAGGAUGUUAAAGGAAGUGAGAAGUGGUUGGUGCUGAGAGUGAUGCUCAGGGGUGAUGAACACUAUGAGUCUCUCCUCCCUCAUAAGAAGGCUCUUUUUGAUAUUUACAGCUAGUGCAUAUUUGGAGACAACUUUUGCUAGUUGCCUCCAUAUUUGGAGACAACUUGAACUUAGUUGACUUCUGUCCUUUUAUUGGAGACAACUUGUGCUAGUUGCCUCCACUUUCAAAACAACUUGAGCUAGUUGCCUCAGAUUUUAGAUAACUUCGGCAAGUUGACUUUACAUGGUGGUGAUGGUGGUAGUGACGGCGGCGAUGGUUGUUGGCGGUGGUGGAUGAAAGUGGUUGUGACAACAGCGGUGGAGAUUCACUCAUUUGUAUAUAAUUUUUCUUUUUGGAGGCAACUUUUGCUAGUUGCCUCCAUAUUUGGAGACAACUUUUGCUAGAUAUGGAGAUAAUUUGGGUUGGUUGCUUUCACUUUCGAAGACAACUUGAGCUAGUUGCCUUAGAUUCGGAGACAACUUAACUUAGUUGACUUCUACCAUGUUUAUUGGAGACAACUUAUGCUAGUUGCCUCCACUUUCAAAACAACUUGAGCUAGUUGUCUCAGAUUUGGAGACAACUUCAGCAAGUUGACUUCACAUGGUGGUGCUGGUGGCGGUGACGGAGCCGAUGGUUGUUGGCGGUGGUGGAUGAAAGUGGUGGUGACAACGACGGUGGUUGGUAAGAGGAA